GGGGACUUCUCCGAUUCACACAAUAGACAGAAAGUGUCCAGGCCACAGUUGCUUGAAGAGAGAGUGAGGCUUUCUUCUUCUCAGGCCCACUUCCAAAUGCCCAGGGAAGGGACAAUGGUCCAACAUGGAUCAGGCACCGAAUCCUGAACUAACCACCUAAGGAAUGAACCCCCACCCCCAAUUCUAAGGGUAAAAACAAUGAGGAAUAUAAAGAUCACAGAGGGCUUAACAAAGGAUGUUACUCCCCAAAUGCCACAGCAUGGCCUGAAGACUUGCCUCACAGAAUUCAGCACCCAUUGAGGGCAUACAUGUAGAAGAGAAACAGAAUUCCCCAUGUGAUGGGCUGAAAAAUGCCCCCCCCACCAAGAUAUCCACAUCUUAAUCUCUGGAACUUGUAAAUGUUAUCUUAUUUGGGAAAAAUAACUCUUUGCAGACGUUAUUAAGGAUCUUGAGAUGAGGAAAUUAUCCUGGUUUAUCCAGGUGGGCCCUAAAUGCCAUCAGAAAUGUCCUUAUAGGUGAGAGGCAGAGGAAGAGUCGAUAUACCCAGAGGACAAGGCAAUGUGAAGAAGAAGCAGAGAAGGAGUUGAAGAUGCUGGCCUUGAAAAUUGGAGUAAUGCAGCCCCAAGGCAAGGAGUGCAGGCCUCCACCGAAAGUUGGAAGGGACAAGGGACAGAUUCUCCCCAAGAGCCUCUGGGGGGAGUGCAGCCCUGUCAACACCCUGAUGUUGAUCCAGUGAAACUAACUGCCAAAUUCUGGCCUCCAGAACUGUGAGAGAAUCCAUUUCUGUUGUUUUCAGCCACCAAGUUUGUGGUAAUUUGUUAUAGGAGCCACAGGAAAGGAACAGACCAAACCACUAAAAAGUCAAGCUGUUCCCUGAUGACAAGUAACCAAUGGGAGGCAUUUGGCAGAGCACAUUGGAAGAAAGAAAAACCACAUGACCAUUUUGGUUGUUAAAGACCCUGACGUCCCAAGUAUAAAUGAG
rnacentral:lncRNA from 1 species